ACGGCUCAGUAACACGUGGAUAACCUGCCCUUGGGUCCGGCAUAACCCCGGGAAACUGGGGAUAAUUCCGGAUAACGCACAUAUGCUGGAAUGCUUUAUGCGUAAAAUGGAUUCGUCUGCCCAAGGAUGGGUCUGCGGCCUAUCAGGUAGUAGUGGGUGUAAUGUACCUACUAGCCAACAACGGGUACGGGUUGUGAGAGCAAGAGCCCGGAGAUGGAUUCUGAGACAUGAAUCCAGGCCCUACGGGGCGCAGCAGGCGCGAAAACUUUACAAUGCGGGAAACCGUGAUAAGGGGACACCGAGUGCCAGCGUCAUACGCUGGCUGUCCGGGUGUGUAAAAUACACCUGUUAGCAAGGGCCGGGCAAGACCGGUGCCAGCCGCCGCGGUAACACCGGCGGCCCGAGUGGUGAUCGUGAUUAUUGGGUCUAAAGGGUCCGUAGCCGGUUUGGUCAGUCCUCCGGGAAAUCUGAUAGCUUAACUAUUAGGCUUUCGGGGGAUACUGCCAGACUUGGAACCGGGAGAGGUAAGAGGUACUACAGGGGUAGGAGUGAAAUCUUGUAAUCCCUGUGGGACCACCUGUGGCGAAGGCGUCUUGCCAGAACGGGUUCGACGGUGAGGGACGAAAGCUGGGGGCACGAACCGGAUUAGAUACCCGGGUAGUCCCAGCCGUAAACGAUGCUCGCUAGGUGUCAGGCAUGGCGCGACCGUGUCUGGUGCCGCAGGGAAGCCGUGAAGCGAGCCACCUGGGAAGUACGGCCGCAAGGCUGAAACUUAAAGGAAUUGGCGGGGGAGCAC
rnacentral:rRNA from 1 species